UACGGAGGGUGCAAGCGUUGUUCGGAUUUACUGGGCGUAAAGGGCGUGUAGGCGGAUGUGCAAGCUGGGGGUGAAAGGCCAGGGCCCAACCCGGGACGACCUCCCAGAACUGCGCAUCUAGAGAAAGUCAGAGGCAGGUGGAAUUCCUGGUGUAGAGGUGAAAUUCGUAGAGAUCAGGAGGAACACCGGCGGCGAAGGCGGCCUGCUGGGACUUUUCUGACGCUGAGGCGCGCAAGCGUGGGGAGCGAACAGG
rnacentral:rRNA from 1 species